rnacentral:rRNA from 1 species
AUUGAACGCUGGCGGCAUGCUUUACACAUGCAAGUCGAACGGUAACAGGGAGCUUGCUCCGCUGACGAGUGGCGAACGGGUGAGUAAUGCGUCGGAACGUGCCGAGUAGUGGGGGAUAACGCAUCGAAAGGUGUGCUAAUACCGCAUACGAACUGAGGUUGAAAGUGGGGGACCUUCGGGCCUCACGCUAUUCGAGCGGCCGACGUCUGAUUAGCUAGUUGGUGAGGUAAAGGCUCACCAAGGCGACGAUCAGUAGCGGGUCUGAGAGGAUGAUCCGCCACACUGGGACUGAGACACGGCCCAGACUCCUACGGGAGGCAGCAGUGGGGAAUUUUGGACAAUGGGCGCAAGCCUGAUCCAGCCAUGCCGCGUGUGGGAAGAAGGCCUUCGGGUUGUAAACCACUUUUGUCAGGGAAGAAACGCUCUGGGCUAAUACCCUGGGGUAAUGACGGUACCUGAAGAAUAAGCACCGGCUAACUACGUGCCAGCAGCCGCAGUAAAAC